rnacentral:lncRNA from 1 species
AGCCAAGUGAUGUAAAAAAUUGGUAGGGAACCAUGGCAGAAUAGCAACAAGCCAAUAGGUAAGGCCACCAGAUAUCCCCAUUGAGGUAACAUGAUGCCUAAUAAUCUUGAUUACUUGUUGUGAUAUUAAUCAAUAUUUGUUCCUAAUUUAUGCCUAAAUCUUGAAUAUUGGUCGUGAAAAUUCGGGGAUUGGAAAGCAAAUUUAAUGAAAUAAAAAUUGAAUCUUGGUGUUUUAGGAGGAGAGCGACAGCAGCAAAAAAAGGGGGUGAGAAAAUGAGCGUGUAUGUGACUACAUAUCCAAUUUAAGCCUGUACAAGAAGCCAAAAACACAGUUGGAUUGAGUGUGUAAUUCACAUGAAAGGCUGCUCUUGGUUGAUGGCAAGACAGAAAUUAAAGGUGUUUGAUAAAUAAAAAUGGUUGUAAACCAAAAGAGGGCCUCAUGGAGCUAUAUGCUAUCAUUGGGUUUAUACAUUCUUUGCCAUUUGUGUGAGUGGGCCUUAUCUGUAUCCUCAUUUCAAAAGCAGCUUUAUAUUUAUGAAGCAGACAGGGGAGUAAGUAAAGAAUAGGGAGAUUUCCGGGCAUGAGGUGUUAUGAGUGUGCAAACAAAGUAUCUUCCAAUUUAAAAGAGGUCUAAACCUCUGGCCCUGUCUGUGGGAGAGAGAGAGAAGAGCUAUGUUUUUAUAAGUGAGGUUAGUUCACCUGUAAAGUGGCUCCUGGUAAUAAAGGCCAGAGAAUUUAUUGUGCAGAGACAGCUAAGCAGUACCUUUCCCCUCUCCAAUGAUGAAGCUGGUUUUGUUGCAUGAAGGAGUCAAUAGAUAAAGGGGGCCAUAGCCAGUCAAGAAGAUUGCGGAUUGCCCAAUACCAAAUUCAAGAUAUUCAAUUCUCUCCAUAAAUAUAUUGCCUUGUUGCUGCUAAGCUGAAAUGGAUCCUCCUAAAAUAGGCAGCGAGGAAUGCAGCAGCAGCGAAUCCGGCUGGACGACAUACAUAGCCUCACCCGACCUCGAGCACGACUAUGCUGAUCACAACGAAGACGAAGAUGAUGAGGACGACGCCACCAUAGCCGAAAGGGUUAAAAAAAGUCGAGCAAGAAGAAGCAGCAGCGGAUAGCGAUGACUCCAUGGCUUCCGAUGCAUCCUCUGGUCCUAGCGAUCAAUAUGGAUAUCUCGGGAGAAGCCACCAUGCAGGGACCAAUAAUCAAAGAAACUCGGCUGCCAAGAAACACCAAGGGAAGAAGAAACAGAUAAAACAAGAAAAGGACAAAUCGCCCAACACUGCAGGAAGAUUGAAGAAAUUUUAGCCCCACUUGUGUCAAGGUAUAUCCCAGGAAAUAUGCAUACAGUUUUGUACUUGUUGAUUCCAUGUUUAAUGCAAUAUCAUGUAUAAAAAAAUGGGUAUUACAGCUUUUUUCUGGGAUUUUUUUUCGGUUUAUGAUAUGGUCUCACUUGUAAAGUUACGGAGAAUGCAUACACUUUAUCAUGAUUUUGAGGCUUUUCUGC